CCUAUUUUCUCCCCCCUACGAGAGAGAGGAGAGAACCGGCAGUGGGGGAGACAUUGUGUUCCUUAUACCUGUAAAGAAGAAGAUUUGUGUUGUCCUUGUGAGAUCAUCCUUGACUCUGUGUUAAGGAUUGUUUGAGAAGAAAAACAUUCCUCAACAAAAAACUUUGUUCAAUAGGUCUCUGAGAGGAAGUGCCAGAGGGAGAGAAAGAUCCAGCGAGGAGGAUGCCAGGGCUUCUCUAAACAGGACAUACUCUAACUAACCCCACCCGUCACCCGUCAGAGAACAACCCGCUGAUCGGUUUGGCAGAUCAACUCAGUAGUGUUUCAUCCAAACAUGCUUUGCCAAAGUAACCAGCCCCCUCACCCACUGAGCACCGACCGACACCGGACGUCCACGCAUGUUGAAAAGUAGUGGAAAUUUGGUCAGUCCACCCUGAACUUAAUGUUAACGUCCACAGACGGACCGGACCAAAUCUGAAUCUAUCAUAGACUUUCACCCGUUUGAAUAGCACUGUACAGUACACUGAAUAGAGCGCAGUAGAGAACAGUACAAUACAACUAAGUAAAGAAAAGUAGAAUAUAGUAGAGUACAGUAUAUCGUACUAAACUGAAUUAUACUUUACUGUAUUGUGCUGGACUCUACUGUACUGGACUCUACCUUACUCUGUUCUGCUGUAUUGUAUUGUACUGCACUGUACUGUGCUUUGCUGAGCUGCGUUGUAUUGUAUUGUAUUGUAUUGUACUGUACUUGUACUAUACUGUGCUUUGCUGAGCUGCGUAGUAUUGUAUUGUACCUCACUGUGCUUUGCUGUGCUGUGCUGUAUUGUAUUGUACUGUACUGUACUGUACUGUGCUUUGCUGAGCAGCGUAGUAUUGUAUUGUACCUCACUGUGCUUUGCUGUGCUGUAUUGUAUUGUAUUGUACUGCACUGUACUGUGCUUUGCUGAGCUGCGUAGUAUUGUAUUGUACCUCACUGUGCUUUGCUGUGCUGUAUUGUAUUGUAUUGUAUUGUAUUGUAUUGUAUUGUAUUGUAUUGUAUUGUAUUGUACCUCACUGUGCUUUGCUGUGCUGUAUUGUAUUGUAUUGUAUUGUAUUGUAUUGUAUUGUACUGUACUGUACUGUACUGUGCUUUGCUGAGCUGCGUUGUAAUUGUAUUGUAUUGUACCUCACUGUGCUUUGCUGUGCUGUAUUGUAUUGUAUUGUAUUGUAUUGUACCUCACUGUGCUUUGCUGUGCUGUAUUGUAUUGUAUUGUACUGCACUGUACUGUGCUUUGCUGAGCUGCGUAGUAUUGUAUUGUAUUGUAUUGUAUUGUAUUGUACUGCACUGUACUGUGCUUUGCUGAGCUGCGUUGUGAAACAUGAGGAGAAGGACAUUCAUAUCCAUAAUGAUGCAUUUCUGUGUAGUACAGAUCAGGGACCCAUGAUGUUAUUCCGUUACCGUAAUUCCAUUACCGGGUGUAAAUCCACUUUAGAGCUCUGCUUUCCAACCCGACGGGCCCCAACAUUAUACAUUGGGUUAGGGCCGGGUAGGCCCUGUUUUUUUUUCAUCAAUAACUAGGUUACGGGUAGGUCUUGGGUAUGACUAAAUUGAUCCCCAACGUUUUGAAGCGGAGCCAUUUGCUCGUGCUCUGCUGCACAGUACAGUCAUAUCUGACUAAGAUCAUAACAUGGUGACAGAAGUGCUUCAUCCUCGUCAAAUAUAAAAACAGGAGAGAUUAUUUCACGAAAAUAAUCAUGUUUUUGUCGGAGUUUAGUGUGACGAAAAACAGCUCACUGCUCUCUCACGUCUUGUCAUUGAGCAGAGGAGCCCAAGCCGAGCCGUUGCUAUGGAUACUCAUCGACUAAGAGCCGCCAUUGGGCAGAGUGCAUGCAGAUCCAGCUGCCUGCGCGCAGGGAGUGAGUGACAGACAGAGAGGAGCAGCUAAUGGAUUUACUAACUGAGGAGGUUAUUUCGGAUUUCGCUUUAAAUUUGGCAGAAGCAAUCGGGCCUGGGUAUGGUAGGGCCUUAAUGUCGCGGGCAUGGAUAGGCCUUAAAUUGUAUGCCUAUGCAGGGCUUUAAUUCACUUCACUUAUUGUAGUUCAAUAACCAAAGGUGCCAUGUAAUAGCUGACACCCAAUUCCUUCUGCAGACAUCGGAGCAGAUAUUUAACUUUUUCGGUUUUAUUAAACAUGGUGGCAUAAAAUCCUGAGGGAGAUUUUAUCGUAAUUUCAUUACCAAAAAAAAUUGCAUCUGCAUCAGUUUAUCCCACAAAAUGUGUUUUUGUACAUUUUACAGUGGAAAUUGUUCAACUUUGAAAUCAACGGCUUUUCUUUGGCAUACACUUCAAAGGGAAAAAACUGAGUCAAAGCUGUAAUUCCGUGGCCGUGGAAUUGCCCUUACCCCACUGAUACUCCUCUGUACAAACACACAUUCUCAGAGCCAGCAGUGUUUCAUAUCUUGGCAUCGUAACUCUCAUUUCCUUAUCAAUGAGACGCGGACUCCUUUUCCUUGCAUGACUUGUACAAGAAAGGAGAUCUCACGACAUGCCACUGUUUCUCCUGUGUACAAUAAAGCUUGCAGCCAACAACCAACGUUUCAGCUUUUCUCAUCUUAGCAUGAGAAGUGAAGUGCUAGUUUCCACAUAAGAAGACAGAAGGCUCCUGUGUCAUGCCAUUUCGUGGUGAAGUCCAACAUAACAGUAAACACAUGACUUCUUGCAGCUUUUUG